rnacentral:rRNA from 2 species
UGCAGUCGAACGGGUAGCACAGAGAGCUUGCUCUCGGGUGACGAGUGGCGGACGGGUGAGUAAUGUCUGGGAAACUGCCUGAUGGAGGGGGAUAACUACUGGAAACGGUAGCUAAUACCGCAUAACGUCGCAAGACCAAAGAGGGGGACCUUCGGGCCUCUUGCCAUCAGAUGUGCCCAGAUGGGAUUAGCUAGUAGGUGGGGUAACGGCUCACCUAGGCGACGAUCCCUAGCUGGUCUGAGAGGAUGACCAGCCACACUGGAACUGAGACACGGUCCAGACUCCUACGGGAGGCAGCAGUGGGGAAUAUUGCACAAUGGGCGCAAGCCUGAUGCAGCCAUGCCGCGUGUAUGAAGAAGGCCUUCGGGUUGUAAAGUACUUUCAGCGGGGAGGAAGGUGUUGUGGUUAAUAACCACAGCAAUUGACGUUANCCGCAGAAGAAGCACCGGCUAAYUNCGUGCCAGCAGCCGCGGUAAUACGGANGGUGCMAGCGUUAAUCGGAAUUACUGGGCGUAAAGCGCACGCAGGCGGUCUGUCAAGUCGGAUGUGAAAUCCCCGGGCUCAACCUGGGAACUGCAUUCGAAACUGGCAGGCUGGAGUCUUGUAGAGGGGGGUAGAAUUCCAGGUGUAGCGGUGAAAUGCGUAGAGAUCUGGAGGAAUACCGGUGGCGAAGGCGGCCCCCUGGACAAAGACUGACGCUCAGGUGCGAAAGCGUGGGGAGCAAACAGGAUUAGAUACCCUGGUAGUCCACGCCGUAAACGAUGUCGAUUUGGAGGUUGUGCCCUUGAGGCGUGGCUUCCGGAGCUAACGCGUUAAAUCGACCGCCUGGGGAGUACGGCCGCAAGGUUAAAACUCAAAUGAAUUGACGGGGGCCCGCACAAGCGGUGGAGCAUGUGGUUUAAUUCGAUGCAACGCGAAGAACCUUACCUGGUCUUGACAUCCACAGAACUUUCCAGAGAUGGNUUGGUGCCUUCGGGAACUGUGAGACAGGUGCUGCAUGGCUGUCGUCAGCUCGUGUUGUGAAAUGUUGGGUUAAGUCCCGCAACGAGCGCAACCCUUAUCCUUUGUUGCCAGCGGUUAGGCCGGGAACUCAAAGGAGACUGCCAGUGAUAAACUGGAGGAAGGUGGGGAUGACGUCAAGUCAUCAUGGCCCUUACGACCAGGGCUACACACGUGCUACAAUGGCGCAUACAAAGAGAAGCGACCUCGCGAGAGCAAGCGGACCUCAUAAAGUGCGUCGUAGUCCGGAUUGGAGUCUGCAACUCGACUCCAUGAAGUCGGAAUCGCUAGUAAUCGUAGAUCAGAAUGCUACGGUGAAUACGUUCCCGGGCCUUGUACACACCGCCCGUCACACCAUGGGAGUGGGUUGCAAAAGAAGUAGUUAGCUUAACCUUCG